CAAGUCGAGCGGAAAGGCCCUUCGGGGUACUCGAGCGGCGAACGGGUGAGUAACACGUGAGCAACCUGCCCUAGGCUUUGGGAUAACCCUCGGAAACGGGGGCUAAUACCGAAUAUGACCUCGCAUCGCAUGGUGUGUGGUGGAAAGUUUUUCGGCCUGGGAUGGGCUCGCGGCCUAUCAGCUUGUUGGUGGGGUGAUGGCCUACCAAGGCGACGACGGGUAGCCGGCCUGAGAGGGCGACCGGCCACACUGGGACUGAGACACGGCCCAGACUCCUACGGGAGGCAGCAGUGGGGAAUAUUGCACAAUGGGCGGAAGCCUGAUGCAGCGACGCCGCGUGAGGGAUGACGGCCUUCGGGUUGUAAACCUCUUUCAGCAGGGACGAAGCGUAAGUGACGGUACCUGCAGAAGAAGCGCCGGCCAACUACGUGCCAGCAGCCGCGGUAAGACGUAGGGCGCGAGCGUUGUCCGGAUUUAUUGGGCGUAAAGAGCUCGUAGGCGGCUUGUCGCGUCGACCGUGAAAACCUGGGGCUCAACCCCAGGCCUGCGGUCGAUACGGGCAGGCUAGAGUUCGGUAGGGGAGACUGGAAUUCCUGGUGUAGCGGUGAAAUGCGCAGAUAUCAGGAGGAACACCGGUGGCGAAGGCGGGUCUCUGGGCCGAUACUGACGC
rnacentral:rRNA from 1 species